rnacentral:rRNA from 1 species
UACGUAGGGUGCGAGCGUUGUCCGGAAUUAUUGGGCGUAAAGGGCUCGUAGGCGGUUUGUCGCGUCGGGAGUGAAAACCAGGUGCUUAACACCUGGCUUGCUUUCGAUACGGGCAGACUAGAGGUAUUCAGGGGAGAACGGAAUUCCUGGUGUAGCGGUGAAAUGCGCAGAUAUCAGGAGGAACACCGGUGGCGAAGGCGGUUCUCUGGGAAUGACCUGACGCUGAGGAGCGAAAGCGUGGGGAGCGAACAGG